UCCACGCCCACAGCAGCAGCAGAAGCCCAGUGAAACACGGAAAGAGCAGAGCACAGUUCAGAUGCAUCACAGGAGAGCCACAGACUAUCCUCUAUAAUGAAAGGCUGGAAUGAAAAUUGUCCCCACAGGUUGGAGUUCAACAUGCACUGACCACCAGGAGCGGCAUGGAACACGGCGGGUCUGAUGAGAGUGGGAUCAUGGGGGGAUGGUGGAGCAGGCCGUUUGGUUCCGAAACAUUCCUUGGAGAGAACGAAAGCAACGGGCCGCGCCGAAAGGGAAACCGCACGCAGACCUGGCGGGGAUAAGAGCCGGAUGAGAGCGCAGCGGCGGGAGGAGGAAAUGCAGCCUGGCCAGGGAGAACGGCCCACAUGAGGUCUCUCCUUGACCUCUUCUCCGGGGGAUCUGGUGAUAGUCACAUCAGAAGUCCACCUACGAAUGGGUUAAAAUUGCUUCUGUUGUAAGACACCAUCUUUU